CUCGUCUCAAAGAUUAAGCCAUGCAUGUCUAAGUGUAAAUAUUUUACUUUGAAACUGCGAAUGGCUCAUUAUAUCAGUUAUAGUUUAUUUGAUAGUCCCUUACUACUUGGAUACCCGUAGUAAUUCUAGAGCUAAUACAUGCAUCAAUACCCAACUGUUCGCGGAAGGGUAGUAUUUAUUAGGUAUAGACCA
rnacentral:rRNA from 16 species